rnacentral:rRNA from 1 species
AUGGCAGAAAGUGGCAUCAGGCCUAUGCCGGUCACAUUUGCAAUCAUCGUGCGUGCGCUGGGCCAGGAAGGGAUGGCGGAGAGGAUCCUAGAGAUGAUUGGGAGGAUGCGUGAUGAGGUGUGCCGGCCGGACGUGUUUGUGUACACCGCUCUGGUCAAGACGAUGGUGCGCAGGGGGCACAUGGAGGCUUGCAUCAGAGUGUGGGAGGAGAUGGGGAGAGAUGGUGUGGAGCCAGACACAGUGGCAUAUGCUACAAUGGUUGAGGGGCUAUGCAACGCUGGGAUUGUAGAGAAAGCAGCUAAAUUGUUUGAGGGGAUGAGGAAAAAGGGGUUGUUGGUUGACAGGAUCGUGUAUGCAUCACUCGUCGAUGCCUAUGUUGCUGCUGGGAGGGUUGGGGAUGGCUGUAGGAUUUUGAAGGAGAUGGUGGAUGCUGGCUACUGCGCUGACCUCAAAACAUACAACAUACUCAUUGCCGGUCUGUGUGGUAUAGGUCGGGAGGAUAAGGCACAUAACAUGUUUCAGAUUGUCCUUCAGGAGGAGCUAGUGCCAAGCUCUGAGACUGUUUCACAGUUACUAGUUUGCUAUGCUGAUAAGGGUGAGAUGGUUAACUUUUUUGGAUUGGUUGACAAAUUGGUUGAGCUGAGCUUGCCUGCCCUAGAAUUUUUAGCGGACUUCUUGAGGCUCUUUGCAUGCAAGGAUGGUAGGGAAUUGAAGACUCUGGAAUUGUUUAAGACUUUGAGACAAAAAGGGUAUUUCAGUGUUAACAUUUAUAACAUUCUUAUUGAGAAUCUGCUCAAGAUCAAGGAGAGGAAGAAAGCAUUAUUACUGUUUGAGGAAAUGAAAGCUUCAGAUGACUGCGAGCCAGAGUCAUGUACAUAUAGUCUUAUGAUUCCAUGUUUUGUGGAUGAAGGAAAUAUUGAAGAGGCUUGCUCAUGCUACAACUCCAUGAUGAAGGCUGAAUGGAUACCAAGUCUUUCAGCCUAUCGUUCGCUCGUGAAAGGGCUAUGCAAGAUUGGAGAGAUAAAUGCAGCUGUUUCACUUGUACCAGAUUGUCUUGGAAAUGUAGAGAAUGGGCCAAUGGAAUUCAAGUACACCUUAACUGUUAUUGAAGCUUGCCGGUCAAAAGACCCGGAGAAGGUCAUGAAAGUGGUGGUUGAGAUGAUUGAGUUAGGUUAUUUAAUAGACGAACUUAUCUUCUCUGCUGUCAUCUAUGGAUUCUGCAAGUACGCAACUUCAACUAGAGCUAGAGAGGUGUUCUCUGUUAUGAGAGAUAGGGAUAUUAUUUCGGAGGCUAAUUUUAUUGUUUACGAGGACAUGCUGAACGAGCACCUGAAGAAGGUCACUGCAGACUUGGUGAUAUCUGGAUUGAAGUUCUUCAACCUUGAACCAAAAUUGAAAUGGAGAAGCAGAAUUGAUUGA